GCACGGGUAGGAAAGCGGCCAAAUCCGCCGGGCUUAGAACCCGGUCGCUCAGUGCGUGCGCAGGUUCGAAUCCUGCCCCGUGCA
rnacentral:tRNA from 1 species